rnacentral:lncRNA from 1 species
AUUGUUUUCAACAUAGAUGAAUGAAAUUAGAUUAAUUCAUGAAAGUCCUUGAUUUAGGGUUUGGUAACAUAUGUUAUAGUAUUUUUGGUAUAUUUAAGGUUAGAUUUUGAAAUCUUUUUUUUUUAUUUUUUUUUUAAAUUUGACUUAUAUGUGUUUAGUGACUAUCUUAUAAGUUGUUUAAACACUUUGUAAGUAUCUUAAAAGUUUAAAGACGUGUUUUUUGUUUAGUUAUUUGAUUAUAGGGUCUGGAAGACUCACAUAAAACGUCCCAAUAAGUCUUUUAACAUACCCCACCUAAAUUUUAGUAGAAUUUAGGGUUCCCACCUAAAUUUUAGAAGAAUUUAGGUUUUCUGCCUAAAUCGAAGUCUUUCAGAAGUCCUCUAGGGAAGUGUUUUUGUUUAGUUAUUUGAUUAUAGGGUCUGGAAGACUACGAGAAGACUUUGUUAUAGUAUUGUUUGUAUUUAGGGUUAUAUUUUAGAAUCUUAACUUUUAAAAUUUUUUGACCUACAUGUGUUUAGUUU